GGGGGUGCACCGGUUUCGACGGGUGUGGACGUGGACUUGAGCUGCAGGUGAGGUCGCCUGUCCUCUGAACAGACAAAAACUAUAACUGCCGAAGAUAAUCGUCAGUUUGCUCUCGCUGCGUAAGCACGAGAACACGGAAACUGGACUGUGCCGCUCUGAACGGGCCAAGUUUCUGUCGCUAAUCAGGGCUUGCUGU
rnacentral:tmRNA from 1 species